rnacentral:rRNA from 1 species
UACAUGGGGUGCAAACGUUGCUCGGAAUUAUUGGGCGUAAAGCGCGCGUAGGCGGUUACUUAAGUCGGAUGUGAAAGCCCUCGGCUUAACUGAGGAAGUGCACCCGAAACUGAGUAGCUAGAGUACGAAAGAGGGUCGCGGAAUUCCCGGUGUAGAGGUGAAAUUCGUAGAUAUCGGGAGGAACACCAGUGGCGAAGGCGGCGACCUGGGCCAAUAUUGACGCUGAGGUGCGAAAGCGUGGGGAGCAAACAGG